CACCAUUUGAAUUGCGUUCCUCCAGUGGCUAUAUAAACACCCUUGAGAUGAUCUGAGAGUCAGUCCACACUGAUCUGAAGAACCUCAUCUGACAUCAACACCAUCUGUGACCUCGGGUGUACUCAACUUUAAAACUUUACACACUCUUCCAGCUCUUCAGAGGUUAACUGGUGACAGAAUCACGUGACGUCAUGGAUUUCUUCAAAACAGUGGGCGCCUUGGCGUCGGGUGUGGCGUCGGGGACGGUGGGCGUGGUCAAAGCUGUGGUGGACGUUCCUGUGGGGAUGGUGAAAGGAGCCGCUGAAAGCAUGAAAGAAGCCAGCAGUAAAAUGGACAGCGCCAACACACCCGGCGAAGGAGUGAACGCUGUUUUUGGUCUGCUGACAUCUCCAUUGACCGGUGCGGUGGCUGGAGGAACUAAAGAGAUUGUCACUGCGCCAGGAAAAGUUGUGCAGAGUGUUGCAGAUGGUGUUGAGAAAGUUUUAGAUGAUUAAGAUGUAUGAAAAACUUUGCUCUGAUAAACCUGUAACACUCAUAUUGUGUACACCAUUCAAUAACUUUUGUCUGUGAAUCAUCUGGAAAAAAAAGAUUUAAAAAAAAAAGUGAAUUAUAUGAAAAAGACAAUAUUUCAUACACUAACAGUUAAUGAUGGUUUGACGAUGUCUCUAGAAAUUAUUUCAUAAUAUUGUAACAUCAAAAAUCAACACUGAUCUUUCACAAUUAUGUUAAAUAAACUUCACAAUGUCACUUGUGUAAACUGUGUAAA